ensembl:lncRNA novel transcript
GUUCAUGAGCAGUGUGCUUGUCGCCCCCUGCCGGCCGGCUGCUGCCCUGACCUGAAUUAUCCGCAUCUCCGUCAUGGUCCCCCAGAGCCACCAGGAAGAUCAAGGAGCCAGGGCCACCCUCACGUUGCCUAGGCAACAGCAUCCGUGAUCAGACUGUAAGGCAACUGGGACCCAUGCGUGCUCCCCGGGGGAGGCUGCAGGUUCACGUCGGUGUCCGGGUAUCUUACAGAAUGUUCUUAAUCUUCACGUGCUUCUUCUGAGAUCAGUGAUAAAGAAGACACGGAUACAGCAAGAAGGAAGGAGGCCCUGUGCACGACACUAAGAUGAGUGACGCCACAGCACGGACCUUUGCUCAAGAUCCGUCAGCAGGAAAUACCCCCCAAGUGCCGAGAGUGCUGGCAUGCAGCAGAGAAGGCUGUAAGUGACUGUGAGGUUUCCUUCAUUAUACUCAUCUGCAUUUUCCAAAUUUUGAAAAUGAGUAUAUAUUAAUUACACACUAAAAAA